ACAGAAUAAUUUCAAAAUAAUCCCUGGGUAUAUCAGUGCUUUUGUGACAGGGUUCAGUCCAGGAAGUGUAAAUGUAAACUACGUUCUUCGGACAGGCCAGACUAUUGGGAGUGAACUACAAACAGCAAGGAAAGGAUUCCUCAGUGAAAUUAAGGGCACUUUCCCUGCCUUUGACUCUGGAGAAAUACGUGUUUGGUGUAAUCAUGCUUUUUAUGGGGCUGGACCAGAACAUACCACAGAAAAUAUAACAUGUACUAUCGGGAGCAUUAUUUUGGUCUGUGUGUCACCUGGAAAUUGGAGCAUUCAGCAAGACACCUGCAUCAUAGGAGAAAUCGGUGACUUAUUCAAUAAGUUGAAGUAUCUGACAGAGAACAAUGUGACAGAUUUUGUGGGAAACCUAAGUAAUGCUGUCCAGGGUAAUAAAAGCGAUAUUGUCAAUUUACCUGCAACCAUAUCAGCUAUCACUGAAAUCCUAAACACCGUUGCAAAUAUUUUCACUGCAGUUAAAUCUGACACC